AGCAGCCGCGGUAAUUCCAGCUCCAAUAGCGUAUAUUAAAGUUGUUGCAGUUAAAAAAGCUCGUAGUUGAAUUUCGGGGUUAGCAGGUCGGUCGUGCCAUCGGUAUGAACUGGUCUCGCUGAUCCCUCCCUCUUGACGAACUGUGAUGCCAUUAAUUUGGUGUCGCAGGGAAUCAGGACUGUUACUUUGAAAAAAUUAGAGUGUUUAAAGCAGGCUCACGCUUGAAUACAUUAGCAUGGAAUAAUGAAAUAGGACGUUUGAUCCUAUUUUGUUGGUUUCUAGGAUUGACGUAAUGAUUAAUAGGGAUAGUUGGGGGCAUUAGUAUUCAAUUGUCAGAGGUGAAAUUCUUGGAUUUAUUGAAGACUAACUACUGCGAAAGCAUUUGCCAAGGAUGUUUUCAUUAAUCAAGAACGAAAGUUAGGGGAUCGAAGACGAUCAGAUACCGUCGUAGUCUUAACCAUAAACUAUGCCGACUAGGGAUCGGAUGAUGUUAAUUUUUUAAUGACUC
rnacentral:rRNA from 1 species